rnacentral:rRNA from 1 species
AGUGAACGCUGGCGGUAGGCCUAACACAUGCAAGUCGAACGGCAGCACAGUAAGAGCUUGCUCUUACGGGUGGCGAGUGGCGGACGGGUGAGGAAUACAUCGGAAUCUACUUUUUCGUGGGGGAUAACGUAGGGAAACUUACGCUAAUACCGCAUACGACCUACGGGUGAAAGCAGGGGAUCUUCGGACCUUGCGCGAUUGAAUGAGCCGAUGUCGGAUUAGCUAGUUGGCGGGGUAAAGGCCCACCAAGGCGACGAUCCGUAGCUGGUCUGAGAGGAUGAUAGGCCACACUGGAACUGAGACACGGUCCAGACUCCUACGGGAGGCAGCGGUGGGGAAUAUUGGACAAUGGGCGCAAGCCUGAUCCAGCCAUACCGCGUGGGUGAAGAAGGCCUUCGGGUUGUAAAGCCCUUUUGUUGGGAAAGAAAAGCAGCAGGUUAAUACCCCGCUGUUCUGACGGUACCCAAAGAAUAAGCACCGGCUAACUUCGUG